rnacentral:tRNA from 1 species
AUGGGGAUAUAGCUCAGUUGGUAGAAUGCUUGCCUUGUACAUACAAGACCCUGGGUUCAAUCCCCAGCACCAUA